rnacentral:rRNA from 1 species
AUAAAAAAGCAGAGACUAAAACUCGUACCUUUUGCAUCAUGAUCUAGCCAGUACACCCAAGCAAAGAGAACUCUAGUUUGAAGCCCCGAAACCUUUAACGAGCUACCCCAAGGCCGUCCAAAACAGGACAAACCCGUCUCUGUGGCAAAAGAGUGGGAAGACCUUUAGGUAGAGGUGAAAAGCCUACCGAGUCAGGUUAUAGCUGGUUGCCCAAAAAAUGAAUAGUAGUUCAGCCCCAUAACUUCACCCACGCCAACCACACCACAACAGGCAAAGGGCCACACAUGGGAGUUAGUUAAGGGGGGUACAGCCCCCUAAACAAAGGACACAACCUCAAGCAGGAGGCUAAGGAAUAUACUACACAACAAGGCUUAAAGUUUCAGUAGGCCUAAAAGCAGCCACCUAAAAAGAGAGCGUUAAAGCUUAAACCUAACCAAGCCUAACAUCACAUUAAACCCUCCAACGCCCCUUCACAAUAUUGAGCCAUUUUAUGCCACCAUAAAAGAGACCAUGCUAGAACAAGUAAUAAGAAGAACGAACUUCUCCCCGCACACGUGUAAGUCGAACCGGACAAACCACCGACAAUUAACGAACCCAAAAACAGAGGGCCCAACACAACCACCACUAAAAUCAAGAAAACCACGUCUCCCCUGAUCGUUACCCCUACACAGGAGUGCCCCCACCCGAAGGAAAGGCCUAAAGGACAAAAAGGAACUCGGCAAACCAAAACCCCGCCUGUUUACCAAAAACAUCGCCUCCUGCCACCAACCGUAUAGGAGG